UGGCCUGGCAUGGAGGGUGAGAGGCGGCAGAGAGAGAUCCAUACCUUCUCUCUCUGCUGCCCGUCCUCCUCCAUGGCAGGACUGAGGUUCUGGGCCCUGUCUGUCUGCCUUGGCUGGAUCUCUAAGCCUAACUGUGCUACAAAGUGAGUGAGCAGAACCUAGCCAGAGGCAGCCACUUGCCUGGGCUGGAAAGAGAAGACAAGAG
rnacentral:lncRNA from 1 species